AUUGAACGCUGGCGGCAGGCCUAACACAUGCAAGUCGAACGAGUGGCGGACGGGUGAGUAAUGUCUGUGAAGCUGCCUGAUGGAGGGGGAGAACUACUGGAAACGGUAGCUAAUACCGCAUACCCUCAGAUGUGCCCAGAUGGGAUUAGCUAGUUGGUGGGGUAACGGCUCACCCAGGCGACGAUCCCUAGCUGGUCUGAGAGGAUGACCAGCCACACUGGAACUGAGACACGGUACAGACUCCUACGGGAGGCAGCAGUGGGGAAUAUUGCAUAAUGGGCGCAAGCCUGAUGCAGCCAUGCCGCGUGUAUGAAGAAUGCCUUCGGGUUGUAAAGUACUUUCAGCGGGGAGGAGUUACCCGAAGAAGAAGCACCGGCGAACUCCGUGCCAGCAGCCGCGGUAAUAC
rnacentral:rRNA from 1 species